CCGAACUCGUAUUUUUUUCCCCUAGUUAAUAGCUACGGUUUAAUCAUGCUUACAACUAAAAUCAGAUUAAUAAUCGUUUUGUAUGGAAGUACCUACCUAUUGCAUGAAUAGAUUCUUUUUUUGUUACCGGUUAAACUAAAAAAACUUAAUAAUCUUAUUAAACAUUUGAUAAACAUCAAUAGAUGCUCGCAUUCAAACUGGUAAUUAUGUAGAAUUUUGCCAAUAGAUCUCAGUUUUGCAAUGUUAAGAAUAUUUUUAACUGUA